rnacentral:rRNA from 1 species
GUGCAGUCGGGUCUUACCAUGCAGUCGACGAUGAAGCCCUUCGGGGUGGAUUAGUGGCGAACGGGUGAGUAACACGUGGGCAAUCUGCCCUGCACUCUGGGACAAGCCCUGGAAACGGGGUCUAAUACCGGAUACGAGCCUCCCGGGCAUCUGGGAGGUUGGAAAGCUCCGGCGGUGCAGGAUGAGCCCGCGGCCUAUCAGCUUGUUGGUGAGGUAACGGCUCACCAAGGCGACGACGGGUAGCCGGCCUGAGAGGGCGACCGGCCACACUGGGACUGAGACACGGCCCAGACUCCUACGGGAGGCAGCAGUGGGGAAUAUUGCACAAUGGGCGAAAGCCUGAUGCAGCGACGCCGCGUGAGGGAUGACGGCCUUCGGGUUGUAAACCUCUUUCAGCAGGGAAGAAGCGAAAGUGACGGUACCUGCAGAAGAAGCGCCGGCUAACUACGUGCCAGCAGCCGCGGUAAUACGUAGGGCGCAAGCGUUGUCCGGAAUUAUUGGGCGUAAAGAGCUCGUAGGCGGCUUGUCGCGUCGAUUGUGAAAGCCCGGGGCUUAACUCCGGGUCUGCAGUCGAUACGGGCAGGCUAGAGUGUGGUAGGGGAGAUCGGAAUUCCUGGUGUAGCGGUGAAAUGCGCAGAUAUCAGGAGGAACACCGGUGGCGAAGGCGGAUCUCUGGGCCAUUACUGACGCUGAGGAGCGAAAGCGUGGGGAGCGAACAGGAUUAGAUACCCUGGUAGUCCACGCCGUAAACGGUGGGCACUAUGUGUUGGCGACAUUCCACGUCGUCGGUGCCGCAGCUAACGCAUUAAGAGCCCCGCCUGGGGGAGUACGGCCGCAACGCUGAUACUCAAAAGAAUUGAUGGGGGCGCGCACAAGCAGCGGAGCAUGUGGCUUAUUUCGACGCAACGCGCAGAACUUACCGAGGCUUGACAUACACCAGUAACAUCCAGACAUGAGUGCCCCCCUCCUGGUCGGGGUACAGUAGUGCAUGGGCUUGUCGUCAACUCAGUCGUGACAUGUUGAGGAGAAACCCCCCAGCACAUCAGA